rnacentral:rRNA from 1 species
UACAGAGGUCUCAAGCGUUGUUCGGAUUCAUUGGGCGUAAAGGGUGCGUAGGUGGUGAUGCAAGUCUGGUGUGAAAUCUCGGAGCUCAACUCCGAAAUGGCACCGGAUACUGCGUGACUCGAGGACUGUAGAGGAGAUCGGAAUUCACGGUGUAGCAGUGAAAUGCGUAGAUAUCGUGAGGAAGACCAGUUGCGAAGGCGGAUCUCUGGGCAGUUCCUGACACUGAGGCACGAAGGCCAGGGGAGCAAACGGG